AGAGUUUGAUCCUGGCUCAGGACGAACGCUGGCGGCGUGCUUAACACAUGCAAGUCGAACGGAGGUUAUAUGGAAGCUUGCGAAAUAUAACCUUAGUGGCGGACGGGUGAGUAACGCGUGGAUAACCUGCCCAAUAGACUGGGAUAACGCCGGGAAACUGGUGCUAAUACCGGAUACGCUCCUUAUAUCGCAUGGUGUGAGGAGGAAAGGGGAAACCCGCUAAUGGAUGGAUCCGCGUCCCAUUAGCUAGAUGGCGGGGUAACGGCCCACCAUGGCGACGAUGGGUAGCCGGCCUGAGAGGGUGACCGGCCACACUGGGACUGAGACACGGCCCAGACUCCUACGGGAGGCAGCAGUGGGGAAUCUUCCGCAAUGGGCGAAAGCCUGACGGAGCAACGCCGCGUGAGUGAAGAAGGCUUUUGGGUUGUAAAACUCUGUCUUCAGGGAAGAAAACAAUGACGGUACCUGAGGAGGAAGCCCCGGCUAACUACGUGCCAGCCGCCGCGGUAAUUC
rnacentral:rRNA from 1 species